GGAACCAUUUCCUAAACCAGAUAUGAAGUAAGAAGUUGGGCCGGAUCCAUUACAAGCUUCGGCUUGCAAAGCCAGACUUUGUGUGCUCUGAGAAGUUCUUUUUUUGGUUAACUUGGAAUUAAGCUCUUCCAUUUUAGAUGUAAAAUCAUCCAUCCGAUCAUUCAAGGUAGAUAUUUGUUCCGAUAAAUGUGUAACAGCUCCCUGAUUUGCUAAUGUUGC
rnacentral:misc_RNA from 1 species